CUAUUUAUCCCCAAAAGACUGUUUCAGCUCACAGUGGCCUUGUGCUGGAGAGGAUUCUCUCCUGGGUGGUUGAAUUUCUGUGGGCACUGUCACCAUCUAGUGGCAUUUUGCUACUGGUUUGCAGGGGCAGCGUUGUUCUGCCCCGUGGCUUGCCCCCAUGAUCAUUCCUUUCUCCCAGUUAUCAGCCCUGGUUUUUACUAAUUUGCAAGUUAAGAGCCUGCAGGUGUGGGCGCAGCUUUAUCUGGCUGAUUUUUUCCCACCAUGUCCCUCUUAGGGAGUAGCUCUGCCUGGUUGAGGGAGGAAAAUGUCCAUGCUCUGUUUCCAUCCCUAUUUCAUGAGGAUUUCUCAUAAGCAGUGUUCUGGCAGUGAGGAGCUGAGCGGCUGAUGCCUGGUUUUAGGGAGUUAUUGCUCUGCUGUCUGCACCCUGUUGGAGCUGCCUGUGAAUUCGCGCUCUCCUCUCAGAUCUCAAAUGCUGGCGGCCCUGCAAUGGCUGCUGCUGCGUGGAGCAAUGAGUUCUCACCCAAGAAGUUGGAGAAAAGCUCAUAAAGUAUUUUGUGAGGUCUUGAUCCAGCUUCGGACUGCAGUAGCUUUGGCUAUGGCUCGGCGAUGCUCUCCUCUGCUCAGAUAUGUCAGCUGCCGGGUUUGAUUUUAUCGUAUGAGGAGACAAACUGUUUAGUGAAUGAAACCAGAUGUGCAAGCCUGUGCUGAGAGACCUAAAGCCCCUUUGCGAAGGAGUCAAGCCAGAAACCUUGGAAAAGACGUAUAAAAACAUUCAUGGAAUGUAUUCUUGGCAAUUCAAGCUGUACUUACAAGCUCUCAUGAGCACACAGAUGAGGAUCAAAGUGUGUGGCCGUGGUAGAUGCAAUCUCAAUCACCGUGCAUGUCCGGAUCUCUGGAAGAACCCACCAGAGGAUGCUGAUCCUGCACCAAGCUCUGCCAAGGUGACUGACACGGGAGCCAGUCUGUCUCACUGACCAGCAGUCCCCAGGUUCCUUCACAGGUGGGGCAAGCCACACUGCGAAAUCAGUUCUGUAGGAGUUUGUAUUCCCCAAUGCAUCCCUCCUGAAACCAAAUACUGCAAUGCCAAAAUAAAAUGACCCCUUAACAUUUUUAUUAGGAAAUAAUGGGUAGUAUUGCUCCCAUCUCCAAGGUCUUGAAUGCUAAAUAACCUGGGCAGGAGAUCUCCAUGCCAGCAUAACACUGUUCUUUGUGUUAAAUUAACAUGUCCGACUUGACAUGAAGAUGCUCUUGGAGUAGCAAAGUGCUUGCUUGGCUAAAUCCAGGCUUCUAGCUUUGUCUGCUGCAGCACAGAGCUGCACACAUUUUCCUCUGCUAGCUCUGCAUAUGAGAAGAGCCCAAAAAUGUUAUUGCUACUGAUAAAUCCUUAAUUUUUCUUCAUAAUUGAUGGGAUAGGCAGAGUUGUGGUGUACCCAGGUAAAGACCUGUGUGAAUGCAGGACAAUAGCUGGACAGGAAACAAUUCCCAGUGCUUGACCUGGAAGAUGUGGCCGUGCCGAGGAAUGCGCACACCUACGGGCUUCUCAUGGGAAUAGCUCUGCUGUCAUAAUAAGGGCACCGUCAGCUGUUGUGGCAUCACUUGCUUCUGUUUUAUGGAAGUGUCUCAAUAGAAAUAUCUAAAAAGGACAUAUCAGUCUUCCAACUGUCCUCACCUGGCCCAGGAAGACUGUAAGAGCAGUGGAAAUUUGCUCUUCUCAGGCACCUGCAGAAGAUCCAACCUGACUUUCUUUGACUCUGUGACCUUCUUCUACUCCCUGCCGAGGCACCUCUCUGUGUAUCAGCAAAUGGGGCUGCUACCAAGGGUACAAGAGGUCUGUGUCUGUAGGAACAUAAGCAGCGUUUGCAGCAGAAGUCUUUGUGGGAGAGCACUGCAGCUCUGGCACUGCCUCAUGCUGCCUGCUUGGGGCCAUGCUGCCAAGGCGUUUAAGUGUCGGUCACUUCUGAAAGGCCGGUCUUUAACCUCUUGAUCUUCUAUUCCUAAUGAAAUGGGAGGGGUGGCAGGAACUCGCACUUUCUCAUGUGGAUUUUGGUAAUUAGUCUAAAUGCUUCUGUAACACAAGGACGUUAAAGGCCUUGCACACCAUUAAUGCAAACUGCUUACUUGUAACGGAGUAAACACCAUCGCACCGACCACACUGCUAACACCAGCAGACUCCUAAUUUUGGAGAUUGUGAAAGGUUGCUCACUGUGCCCAGUGCAUGUGGGAAGGAGGUUUUGAAAGGGUAAAGCUGUGUUGUACUGGUGUCCGGCUGUUGAGGAAAGCAGCUGUAGUGGAUCACCACAAGAGAUGGCACCCAGCACAGCAGAGCAAGGUGACAGGAGGAUGCUUGAGGGGAUCAGGUACCCACCCUGGCUGCUUGGAGCUGCCAAACCUCCUUCCAGCCUGGAUGUCACAUGAGGGACCAGGAUCAGGGUGAUGGGGCAGACCAGGAGGUGGUGGUGAGGUUGAUGCUCAAUACCCUGCUUGGGCACGAGUUGUGGAGCCCCAGCUGUGUCCAGGGAGAAGAUGUAAAGAAAAGGGGCUCGUCCCCCAUAGAUGAGCCCUGCCAAGAUCAAAAUGAAGCAACUUUAGGUACAGCAGCGGCUGCUCUUCGUCCCAUUUCUCUUCCUGUCUGACGCUGUCACGUACUGGGGAGCUGAACCGCUUGGUGCUUCCAAGUGGCCCCUGGUAACUGAUACCUCUAAAACCAAGGUGGAUGGUUUACCAGAAGUCACACUGCGAGCCGGUAGCUCUUGACAUUCGUUGCAGAGCACAUGACGCACCAGAAAAGGGCAGCGGGACCUACAUCUUUUGAUGCAGAAAGCAGCCGUUGCGUGACUCGGUCCUCGCUGGGAAAUGCGGGCUGAGCACCGCAGCCAGCCCCUGGUGGUGCUGGCCCUGGCACCAGCCCAGGGGGAUGGAAAGAGGUUUUUGUUUUAUUUUUUUUAAAAGCUCUUCUUCCUAUUAGCACAUGUCCUGAGUCAGGUGAAGCAGCUGCAGCCUGGUACGCAGCCGUGCUUCUGUGAAGGCUACAGUUGUGUUCAGCUCUGCUUAAAUAUUCUUAGAUUGAAUGGAAACUGCUUGCUAGCUCCUAAAACCCUUCAAAGAGCACAUCCUAUUUAUGCUUCAGUGAAGGUCUCCAACCUGACUGUUGUGGUAUGAGAGGGCUUCAGCAGUUCUUCAUGAGCCAGCUUAAAGGGAGGAGACUUGCUGCAUAAGUAAGGUGUGUGGCGGGUGUUAGAGGCUGAGAACAGGAUUGAUCUGUGAGGCUCCAUAUUGUUACAGACCGCGUGACUGCUAAGCACAGAGAAGCAGAUAACUCCCUGAAGUAGUUAAUUUGAAUAUACAGAAGCAAAAGGAAGAGUAGGAGGAAGAUGUAGGUCAAGUGCUUCAGGAAGAUGCCA